UCAUUUUAUAUCUGACCGGGCCCGGUACAUGGGUCAACACAAAAUCAUCGAGAUAUCGCUUCUAUUUCUAGAAUGAACAGAUAAACUUCGACUCAUAUGCUUGUUCUACUACUUGUUGAAUUGUACACAAAGGCACAUUUUAUGACAUCAAGUUACUGAUGCGUUUACGUGCAAUCAAUGCACAACCAACUCAUAGGUAACAACUCAUAUCUCUAGGUUUGAAGACUUAUAUGAUAUUAUCAUCUCACGAUCACUCGAGAUAAAUUCCAUGAAGUGAUACAAGUGAGCGUGGGUUUAUACCAAUACUCAUAACUUAUGAGUACUCAUGAACGUUGUAGCAACCAUUGCCAUGUCUAAACACCUUUAGCCAUCUACAAACCCAAUUCAUGACAAUCUUGAUUCAUACCUACUUCCGACGUAUGACCGAUUGUGGAGGUUUGAAUAAAUUAAUUAUUCUGGAAGUCAAAACAUGCAAAACUGAAACAAUAGUAAAUAAUUGACAAUGAUAGUAACACUUUACUCAUAAAUAAAUAACAAAUUUUAUUCAUCAUCAAACGUCGAUUACAUUUUACAAGUUUCAGAAAAGGCUGUCUAAUCUGUAAAACAAAUAUCAUCUCUCAGCCCGAUGUGCCUCACAUGCUGCAAAUGCUUAACCCUCGUCAGUCCCUUCGUAAGGGGAUCUGCAGGGUUCUCAUCUGAUGAUACCCUCUUUGCCACAAGGAGUCCUCCUUCUAUCUUGUGUCUUAGGAAGUGAUAUUUUCUGUGAAUGUGUCGGGAUCUGCCAUGAUCUCUCGGUUCCUUGGCUUAGGCAACCGCACUAUUGCUGUCACAGAAAAUCUCCAUAGGCUCCUUAAUAGAUGGUACAACUCCAAGGUCUCCGAUGAAGUUCUUUAGCCAUAUCGCCUCCUUCUCUGCUUCACUCGCUGCUAUAUAAUCUGAUUCACAAGUCGAAUCAGCUACCGUCUCCUGCUUGGAACUCUUCCAAGAGAUUGCCCCUCCAUUUAGGGUAAAGACCCAGCCCGACUGAGAGCAGAACUUAUCCCUAUCACUCUGAAAACUAGCAUCACUAUACCCUAAUACUCUCAAGUCAUCACUCCCACCAAGGGUAAGGAUCCAAUGAGCCUUGCCAAGGUUCCCUUGAUAUCUGCUGACCAUGCGCAAAGCAAAGGCCACAUCAGGGUGGGUACAAGUCAUAACAUACAUGAUCGAGCCUACAGUGGAAGCAUACGCUAAUCGACUCAUUUCUACUAUCUCAGCCUCUGUACUCGGACUCUAAGUCUUACUCAGUUUGGCAUUGCAUUGGAUCGGUAAAUCUCCUUUCUUGGAAUUUUUCAUGUUGAACCUAUUCAACACCUUAUCCAAAUAGGUACUCUGACUAAGUCCAAUUAGUCUUUUACUCAUUUCUCUUAAUAUCCUUAUCCCUAGGAUAUAGGCAGCUUCUCCUAGGUCCUUCACAACAAAGCACUUCCCAAGCCAGGAUAUAACCUCCUGCAAGGUUGGGAUGUCAUUUCCUAUAAGUAGUAUGUCAUCUACAUACAGUAGCAAGAAGCUAACUAUACUCCCACUAGCUCUGACAUACACGCAAGACUCAUCUUCACCUCUCGAGAAGCCAAACUCUUUGACCUUCUCAUUGAAACAAAGAUUCCAGCUACGAGAUGCUUGUUUUAAUCCAUAAAUGGAUUUCUCAAGCUUGCAUACUCUAUUAGGGUAUUUUGCACUGACAAAACCCUCUGGCUGAUUCAUGUACACAUCCUCAGCCAACUUUCCAUUAAGAAAAGCGGUUUUGACAUCCAUAUUCCAUAUUUCAUAAUCAUGAAAUGCAGCAAUGGCUAGCAUAACCCUAAUAGACUUAAUCUUUGCUACCGGUGAGAAGGUUUCAUCAUAAUCAAUACCCUGAGUUUGAGUAAAACCCUUCGCAACCAGUCGAGCCUUAUAGGUGUGCACUUUUCCUUCCAUGUCGGUCUUCUUCUUGAAGAUCCAUUUGCACCCGACUGUUUUACGGUCUGGUACAUUAUCAACCAAGUUCCAAACUUGAUUGUCAUACAUGGACUGUAUCUCGCUGUCCAUAGCCUCCUUCCAUUUAGCAGACUUCGGGCCUGCCAUUGCUUCCUUAACACUGCUAGGUUCAUCCAAAUUUACCAGUGUACUAUCGCUGAUAAACGUAUCACCUUCCGUAGUAAUAUGAAAGCCAUAAUAAAACGAAGGUGUGUUCCUAACCCGUGUGGAACGCCUCGGAGGUACAGACAUGUCAGCUUGCUCAACAGGAGUUUCCUCCUCAGGUUGAUUGCUAGUGUCUGAGGUUCCUUCACAGGUUGAUUCUUGAAUUUCUUCGAGGUCAAUUUGCCUCCCACUAUCUCCUUGGUUUAUAAACUCUCUUUCACGAAAGACCCCUCUUCUCGCUACAAAGACCACAUUCUCAUUAGGUCUGUAGAAGAGGUAACCGAAGGAUUUCUAUGGGUAGCCGAUGAAAAUACACCUUUCACUUCGGGGUUCAAGCUUAUCAUGAGUUUCUCGCCUCAUGAAAGCCUCGCAACCCCAAAUCAUGAUGUGGUCCAAAUUGGGAACCUUCCCAGUCCACAUCUCAUGAGGUGUUUUGGUAACCUUCUUUGUAGGGACUAGAUUAAGGAUAUGGGCGGCAGUCUCUAAGGCAUACCCCCAAAAAGAGAUUGGUAACGAAACUCGACUCAUCAUAGAGCGAACCAUGUCCAACAAGGUACGAUUACGCCUCUCAGCUACACCAUUCAGCUGUGGUGUCCUGGGAGGAGUCAAUUGUGAGACAAUCCCACACUCCUUAAGAUAGUCAAGGAACUCGGUACUAAGAUACUCACCACCUCGAUCGGAUCGAAGCAUCUUAAUGUUCCUGCCCAAUUGAUUUUCUACUUCCUGUUUGAAUUCCUUAAACCUUUCAAAGGUUUCUGACUUAUGUUUGAUUAAGUAGACAUACCCAUAUCUACUAAAAUCAUCAAUAAAAGUCACAUAAUACCGAUUAGCAUCCCUUGUGGCAGGUUUGAAUGGUCCACACACAUCAGUAUGUAUUAGGUCCAACAAACCUUCACCCCGUUCACAAGUACCAGUGAAGGGUGAUUUUGUCAUCUUUCCAAGUAGACAAGAUUCACAACUAUCAUCCGAUUUAAGGUCAAAUCAUUCCAAGACUCCAUCCUUUUGGAGUUGACCUAUGUGUUUCUUGUUUACAUGUCCAAGACAACAAUGCCACAAUGAUGCUUUAUCUAGGCUAGUAGAAGAAUCAAUAUACAACACAUUAUUUCCUAAGUUGUCUACAAUCGACACAGUUUCAUACACACCAUCACAAGGUAAUGCUUUAAAAUAAAACACAUUUUUAAAGAAAGCAUUAAUACCACCACAUUCAUUAUCAAACGAAAAGGUAAAACCUUGUUUGUACAAAGCAUGAAAAGAAAUAAUAUUCCUCGCCAUUUCAGACGAGUACACACAUUUAUUCAAAUCUAAUUUUAAUCCAUUAUUCAGCAAAAAAGUAUAAACUCCAAUCUUGGAAACAGGUGAAGCCUUCCUAUUCCCCAUGAUCAAGUUUAUCUUUCCAUGCUCCACAUCGUCACUUCUUCUUAGGCCCUGCAAAUCAGAACAUAUGUGAAUACCACAUCCUGUAUCAAGCACCCAAGAGUUAGAAUAUGUUGAGUAAUUAGACAAUAUAGUGUAAAUACCUGCAUGGGUGGGUUUCACUUUCCCAUCCUUUAGAUCCUGCAAGUACUUAGGGCAGUUUCGCUUCCAGUGUGCCUUUUCAUGGCAAUAAAAGCAUUCAGCAUCCUUUGGAAUGGCAGAAGGAGUGACAGAACCGUUCUUAGUCUUGGAUGAGGAGCCUUCAAGAGACUUUCCCUUGGUACCCUUCGAAGGGUGCUUCCUCUUUUUCCCUUUGCCUUGCCCAAUAGCUAAAACAGGGGUAGAAGUUGGAGUAGGAGUAGUAGAGGUAACAACCGCUUUACCCUUAAGACCGGUUUCAGCGGUCUUCAAGAGUCCUUGAAGCUUGCUGAGGGUAACUUCCUCCUUGUUCAUAUGAUAUGUCAUUCGAAAAUGAUCAUAACAAGAAGGCAAGGAGUGCAAAAUGAUGUCAAUUGCUAACUCCUCGGGGAUGUUAACAUUCAGCUUCAGCAAACGGUCCACAUACCUUUGCAUCUUUUGCAUGUGGCCCGUGACGGAUUCACCGUCCUUCAUGCGGGUAGUUAUUAUGGAGGAGAUUAUUUCAUACCGCUCCUGACGAGCACUCUGAUGGUACCUUUCCAUCAAGUCUUGGUGCAUCUCAAAAGGGUAGAAAUCUUCAUAUGACUUUUGGAGCUCGGCUGUCAUCGUGGCCAUCAUGAUACAUGCCACCUUAGUAGCAUCUCUCUCAUGAGUCCUGAAUUCAGCGAUCUCCUCAGGAGUAGCAGUAGACUCAUCAAGUUCUUUUAACUCCUUAUCGAGGACAUAUUCCUUGUCCUCGUAACGAGUAACCAUCCUGAUGUUCCUAAUCCAAUCCAUGAAGUUGGAACCAUCAAAGAUGACCCUCCCACAAAGAUUCAUGAGAGAGAAAGAACCAGUUGGGUUAGAGCCUGAAGCAUUAGUGUUGGAAGACAUCUGAAAGAAGAAAGUAAGUUUAGAUUAGAUAUUUAGGAUCCUUAAUAAGACACCCAAAUGUAAUAUUAAGGCUAGGAUCCAAUCACAAUAUAUUACACUUAGAAGAGGGAUGCCGUAAUCUAAGUAAUAAUAUAUUUGAAAGGUAGGCGAAUGACGAUUCACCAAUUUCCACCAUGAAAACGAAAUGAUUAAUUAGGUUUAAUUGGAUUUGAAAUUCCUAGAUUCUUUUGAGAUUCAUUGAACUUUUCAAUGGCAUGUUUCAAUCUCGAUUGUGCCCUUCAAGUUUUGUGACUGGGAUGCCGAGGAUCACAAAACAAGGUGUGAAUAACCAUGCUAACUCACUUGGUACUCCUAAUAUUAUCACCUAAUCAAUGUGCCGGUUAACCACACACGCUCCAUUGAUCUAUGACAACAUUAAGUUACCCUUCGUGAUCCUUACUAGUCUAAUUAGUGUGCCGGUUAACCACACACGCUCCACUAACGACUUGGUAAGGUACAAAGUGUGAAUUCCAUGGAUUAGCACCAUGUUCACAUUUUCCUAAAAUAACUAAGAUUGGGAAUUAAAAGAGUUUAGUUAUUUUAUAAUAUUCAUUAUACUUUUAAUGAGGAUUUAAAGUCGUUGUUCUACCCGUUCGGCUAACGACCCUCCACCGAUCAAGCAAGCGGUGGGUGAGAGUAUACACCCAUUAAGUCGCCAUUUUAUAGGCAACAACCUUAUACCCACCUUAUAGACCGGCUUCGUGAAUGAGGCCUACUAACGGUAAAACGACUUAUUCUUAUACAUAUAUAUAAUAAUUAACCAUUAAUGUUAUAAAUAGUAUAAGGGUUGAAUUUUAACUAUUAAAACUCUAAGGUUUGGAAUUAAAGUUUAUUAAAGUGUGUGAAACUUUACAAAUUCCAAAACUUGAGGACAAGUUUUGUAACUUUGCAAAACUCUUCAUUUCAUAACUUAUGAAUUAAAGGUUCAUAAAAAUGAAGACUCUUCAUUUUCAUGUAACUUAUGUGUUUUAAGUGUGUGUUAAAUGAAAGUGACCUUUGGUAAUCCAUAACUUGAGGACAAAUUAUGGACUCCAUUAAAACACAUAAAUGAUUAAGAAUUAAUUCUAAACAAUUCAGCAAAUAAUUCCUAUCAUUUUCUAAAUUCAUAAGAACAUGAACAUGAUCAUCAAAAAUUCAAGAAUUAUAUGAACACAUAAAAUCAUGGAUUUUUGAUAUAUGCUAUUGUAAAUGGAUUAGAACAACCAUUACACCAACUAAAAUAAGUUUUACAACACCAAAACAAUUUAGGGUAAUGUUUCCAGUCCAUUUCCAGCAGCAAAAGUCGAGAUUCUGCAUUCUUUCGAUCCUACUCGCCGAGUGCACGAACGGACUCGUCGAGUAGGUUGAAGUUUGCCUUGGACUCGGCGAGUCCCCCCAAUGGACUCGGCGAGUCUAGCAUGCAGACAGCAACGAUUUCGACUUUUUUCACUAUUUUGCAUCAAGUAUCAAACAAGCAAGCCUAGGCUCUGAUACCACUGUUGGGUUUUGAGCAAUCUAACACUUCCUAAGUGUGCAUGCAACCCUAAUAAACCUUGGAUCUAUGUUUGUCUAAAUACAUGCAAAAUAAUAAUUUUCCAAGGUUUAUAACCUAUCUAACAUGGCAUGGGGAACAUUUCAACAUAAAAGAGUUAGAAGAGAUUACAUACCUUUGUUGUGUUGGGUUCUUAGGAGUUUGAGGGCCAAGCACCAAUAGUGUGAAUGCCUCAAAUGGAAUCACAAACACCACAAACUCUUGGAAAACUUUGAGAGAGUAUACACACUCUUGUAUUUUCGGCCACACACAUGCACACACACACUAGAACACUAGCUUUCUCUUAGGCUAUCUUAGGCUCUCUUUCAUGCUCCAUAAGCAUGCUUAUAUAGUAUGCAUGGUUAGGGUGAAACCCUAAUAACCCAUGUCUUUUCCUAUUCCAAGGAUCCAUGGGUUAAAAGCUCCAUGGAUCAUCCAUGGACUUCCACAUAAGCCUAGCCCAUUAACAAAUGAGUAUUAGCCCACACUAUAUAAAACAAAUAGCCCAUAAUUUAAUUAGUAUUCCUUUUAAUCUCUAAAUUAAUCCAUAAUUAAUUUAAGACUAAAACUAAUUAAAUAACGUAACUUCAUAUUAAUAUAUUAUAACUCAUAAUAUAUUAAUAAACAUAUGUGUAUAACUCUCAUAAAAUUAUCCAUAAUAGUUUGGAUGAGAUGCAACCCAAAUGGACCAUGCCGGUCGGGUCAAGUAUAUACCAAAUAAGUUAUGGACUUAGACACCUUAUCCAACAGACUCCCACUUGGAUAAGUCUAAUAACUAUAUUUGCCUAUAACUUCAGGAACCAACCAACAAUCGUAGCUCUCGAAAACUCCCUCGAACAAUGAAGACUCUGUCGAACUAUGAAGCGCCAUUUUAGAUAAGUGAUCACAUAAUCCUCUGUUCUCAUGAUAUCAGCCGGACAAACACAUGGAACUAUGUCUUGCUUAUUGUCUAGCAGUUGUUUCUCGAUUAUCCGAUUUGUUUGACGAAGAACUUCACUGAACACAUCGGUUUAGUUCUGACCAGGCCUGGUAUAUGGGUCAACACAAAAUCAUCGAGGGGCCCGGAUAUCGCUUCUAUUUCUAGAAGGAACAGAUAAACUUCGACUGAUAUGCUUGUUCUACUACUUAUUGAAUUGUACACAAAGGCACGUUUUAUAACAUCAAGUUACUGAUGCGUUUACGUGCAAUCAAUGCACAACCAACUCAUAGGUAACAACUCAUAUCUCUAGGUUUAAAGAUUUAUAUGAUGUUAUCGUCUCACGAUCACUCGAGAUAAAUUCCAUGAAGUGAUACAAGUGAGCGUGGGUUUAUACCAAUACUCAUAACUUAUGAGUACUCAUGAAUGUUGCAGCAACCAUUGCCAUGCCUAAACACCUUUAAGGCAUCUACAAACCCAAUUCAUGACAAUCUUGAUUCAUACCUACUUCCGACGUAUGAUCGAUUGUGGAGGUUUGAACAAAUUAAUUAUUCUGGAAGUCAAAACAUGCAAAACUGAAACAAUAGUAAAUAAUUGACAAUGAUAGUAACACUUUACUCAUAAAUAAAUCACAAAUUUUAUUCAUCAUCAAACGUCGAUUACAUUUUACAAGUUUCAGGAAAACUAUCUAAUCUGUAAAACUAAUAUCGUCCCUCAGCCCGAUGCGUCUCGCAUGCUGAAAAUGCUUAACCCUCGUCAGUCCCUUCGUAAGGGGAUCUGCAGGAUUCUCAUCUGACGAUAUCCUCCUUGUCACAAGGAGUCCUUCUUCAAUCUUGUGCCUUAUGAAGUGAUAUUUUCUGUCAAUGUGUCGGGAUCUGCCAUGAUCUCUUGGUUCCUUGGCUAAGAUAACCGCAGCAUUGUUGUCACAGAAAAUCUCUAUAGGUUCCUUAAUAGCUGGUACAACUCCAAGGUCUCCGAUGAAGUUCUUUAGCCAUAUCGCCUCCUUCGCUGCUUCACUCGCUGCUAUAUACUCUGAUUCACAAGUCGAAUCAGCCAC
rnacentral:lncRNA from 1 species